CAGCCGCCGCGGGAAUACGAAGGGUGCAAGCGUUACUCGGAAUUAAUGGGCGUAAAGCGUGCGUAGGUGGUGGUUUAAGUCCGUUGUGAAAGCCCUGGGCUCAACCUGGGAAUUGCAGUGGAUACUGGGUCACUAGAGUGUGGUAGAGGAUAGUGGAAUUUCCGGUGUAGCAGUGAAAUGCGUAGAGAUCGGAAGGAACAUCUGUGGCGAAGGCGACUAUCUGGGCCAACACUGACACUGAGGCACGAAAGCGUGGGGAGCAAACAGGAUUAGAUACCCCCGUAGUCCCUGUCUCUUAUAC
rnacentral:rRNA from 1 species